CAGCAGCCGCGGUAAUACGUAGGUGGCAAGCGUUGUCCGGAAUUAUUGGGCGUAAAGGGCUCGCAGGCGGUUUCUUAAGUCUGAUGUGAAAGCCCCCGGCUCAACCGGGGAGGGUCAUUGGAAACUGGGAAACUUGAGUGCAGAAGAGGAGAGUGGAAUUCCACGUGUAGCGGUGAAAUGUGUAGAGAUGUGGAGGAACACCAGUGGCGAAGGCGACUCUCUGGUCUGUAACUGACGCUGAGGAGCGAAAGCGUGGGGAGCGAACAGGAUUAGAUACCCCGGUAGUCCCUGUCUCUUAUAC
rnacentral:rRNA from 1 species